AUGAACGCUAGCUACAGGCUUAACACAUGCAAGUCGAGGGGCAGCAUGGUCUUAGCUUGCUAAGGCCGAUGGCGACCGGCGCACGGGUGAGUAACACGUAUCCAACCUGCCGUCUACUCUUGGACAGCCUUCUGAAAGGAAGAUUAAUACAAGAUGGCAUCAUGAGUCCGCAUGUUCACAUGAUUAAAGGUAUUCCGGUAGACGAUGGGGAUGCGUUCCAUUAGAUAGUAGGCGGGGUAACGGCCCACCUAGUCUUCGAUGGAUAGGGGUUCUGAGAGGAAGGUCCCCCACAUUGGAACUGAGACACGGUCCAAACUCCUACGGGAGGCAGCAGUGAGGAAUAUUGGUCAAUGGGCGAGAGCCUGAACCAGCCAAGUAGCGUGAAGGAUGACUGCCCUAUGGGUUGUAAACUUCUUUUAUAAAGGAAUAAAGUCGGGUAUGCAUACCCGUUUGCAUGUACUUUAUGAAUAAGGAUCGGCUAACUCCGUGCCAGCAGCCGCGGUAAUACGGAGGAUCCGAGCGUUAUCCGGAUUUAUUGGGUUUAAAGGGAGCGUAGAUGGAUGUUUAAGUCAGUUGUGAAAGUUUGCGGCUCAACCGUAAAAUUGCAGUUGAUACUGGAUAUCUUGAGUGCAGUUGAGGCAGGCGGAAUUCGUGGUGUAGCGGUGAAAUGCUUAGAUAUCACGAAGAACUCCGAUUGCGAAGGCAGCCUGCUAAGCUGCAACUGACAUUGAGGCUCGAAAGUGUGGGUAUCAAACAGGAUUAGAUACCCUGGUAGUCCACACGGUAAACGAUGAAUACUCGCUGUUUGCGAUAUACGGCAAGCGGCCAAGCGAAAGCGUUAAGUAUUCCACCUGGGGAGUACGCCGGCAACGGUGAAACUCAAAGGAAUUGACGGGGGCCCGCACAAGCGGAGGAACAUGUGGUUUAAUUCGAUGAUACGCGAGGAACCUUACCCGGGCUUAAAUUGCAGAGGAAUUACGGUGAAAGCCGUAAGCCGCAAGGCAUCUGUGAAGGUGCUGCAUGGUUGUCGUCAGCUCGUGCCGUGAGGUGUCGGGUUAAGUCCCAUAACGAGCGCAACCCCUACCGUUAGUUGCCAUCAGGUCAAGCUGGGCACUCUGGCGGGACUGCCGGUGUAAGCCGAGAGGAAGGUGGGGAUGACGUCAAAUCAGCACGGCCCUUACGUCCGGGGCUACACACGUGUUACAAUGGGGGGUACAGAGGGCCGCUACCACGCGAGUGGAUGCCAAUCCCAAAAACCUCUCUCAGUUCGGACUGGAGUCUGCAACCCGACUCCACGAAGCUGGAUUCGCUAGUAAUCGCGCAUCAGCCACGGCGCGGUGAAUACGUUCCCGGGCCUUGUACACACCGCCCGUCAAGCCAUGGGAGCCGGGGGUACCUGAAGUGCGUAACCGCGAGGAGCGCCCUAGGGUAAAACUGGUGACUGGGGCU
rnacentral:rRNA from 1 species